AUGGAUCCAACUGAAAACCCAGGGAACCGCAUUGGUCGCACUAUUUGGACUGUUUGGGGUUAUCUGUCAGGGGCUGUUGCAAGAUUUCUCAGACCGGAAGUCACAGAUGAAGGAAACCAAGGUGUUCGUACCAGAACAGAUGAUAUUGACUUGAAAAGUGCAGUUAACAAGAUUGACAGAGAAGUAACGGCAAAAAAUAGCAACAAUGAAGGGAAGGAAACAAAUCAAAUUGACAGUGCAGAGGUCAAGUGUUCCCCAUCUAAAGUCAGAGUGCAAGUGGCUUCUGUACAGUGGGAAAACACUGAUGUGGUCAAGGAUGACAAUAAUGAUGAACUUCAUGUUCACACCACAAAAAAACAAACUUACCAUUGUGCAGUGUGGUCCCCUGGGACUGAUACAGACAACGAAGGAUGCAUGGUUGACGCACUUGUUGAGAAAGAAGCAGUCUCAUCUGAUGAGGUUCAGGCUGAAAAUAUAUAUGCGAACAAUGAGUUUAAGGAGAGUGAAACUGCACACGAGUUGGAAGAAACUGGAAAGAUUGAACAAAAAUAUGGUGACAAUGAAGAUAUAGAAGAACGUGAUCAGAAUCAUAAGGGUGAAAAGUGUGCAAAGAAUAGAAAAGAUGCAUAUGAGACAGAUGUAAUGGUCCAAUUUGAUCAAGAUGUAGAACAGGAAAAGCAGAUAAACAUGGCGGACCAUGGAGAGACAGAAGGCAUUGCAGGUUUUAAACAUGCAGAUACACAUCUUAUUGAUGAACAAAUUGUUGACCAGAAGGAUCGGGGGGGAAUUGCUUACGUCUCUAAAAACGAGGUUGAGGAGAUGAUGCCUGAAACUAGAGGUGCGACUGAGCAGGAUAAGGAGAAGAAAACUGUACAGGACUUGGAAGAAAUUGGGCAGCUUGAACGAAACGAUGGUGACAAUGAAGAUAAAGAAGAAUGUGAUCAGAAUCAUGAGGAAGAAAAGUGUGCAGUGGAGAGUGAAGAUCUGGAUAAUGCAGACGUAAAGGUCCAAUCUGAGCUUUAUGGACAAGAUGUAGAACAUGAAAUGAAGAUAAGCAUGAUGGACCAUGCAGAGAAAGAAGGUAUUGGAGGUUUUAAACAUGCAGAUGAACACCUUAUUGAAGAAAAGGAGAACAAUUUAAACCAGAAGGAUCAGGAGAAAACUGAGAAUGAUGAAGAAAAAGGACUUGAAUCACAAGUUCAAGAUUUGCAGAAGAGUGAAGAUCCAGAUAACGCAGACAUAUUGGUCCAAUGUGAGCUUUAUGGACAAGAUGUAGAACAAGACAAACUGAUAAACAUGAUGGAUCAUGGAGAGACAGGAGGCUUUGGAGGUUUUAAACUUUCAGAUGAACAUCUUAUUGAUGAAAUAGUGGAACAAACUGUUGACCAGAAAGAUCGGGGCAGAACUGAGAAUGAUGAAGACCAAGGAACUGAAUCACAAGUGCAAGAUUUGCUGCCACAGCUGGAAUAUUUAAAAAAAUAUUCUGAUGAAAUUGCUUGCAUAUCUAAAAACGAGGUUGAGGAGAUGAUGCCUGAAACUAGAUGUGCGACUGAGCAGGGUAAGGAGAAGGAAACUGUACAGGACUUGGAAGAAAUUGGGCAGCUUGAACAAAACGAUGGUGACAAUGAAGAUGAAGAAGAAUGUGAUCAGAAUCAUGAGGAAGAAAAGUGUGCAGUGGAGAGUGAAGAUUUGGAUAAUGCAGACGUAAAGGUCCAAUCUGAGCUUUAUGGACAAGAUGUAGAACAAGAAAUGCAGAUAAGUGGGAUGGACCUAGCAGAGGAAGAAGGCAUUGGAGGUUUUAAACAUUCAGAUGAACAUCCUAUUGAUGAAAAGAAGAACAAUUUAGACCAGAAGGAUCAGGAGAAAACUGAGAAUGACGAAGAACAAGGACUUGAAUCACAAGUUCAAGAUUUGCAGAAGAGUGAAGAUCCAAAUAACUCAGACAUAUUGGUCCAGUCUGAGCUUUAUGGACAAGAUGUAGAACAAGACAAACUGAUAAGCAUGAUGGAUCAUGCAGAGAAAGAAGGAACUGGCGGUUUUAAACAUUCAGAUGAACAUCUUAUUGAUGAAAUAGAGGAACAAAUUGUUGACCAGAAGGAUCGGGAGAGGGCUGAGAAUGAUGAAGACCAAGGACUUGAAUCACAAGUACAAGAUUUGCAGAAGAGUGAAGAUCCAGAUAAUGCAGACAUAAUGGUCCAAUGUGAGCAAGAUGUAGAACAGGAAAAGCAGAUAAACAUAGUGGAACAUGGAGAGACAGAAGGCAUUGGAGGAUUUAAACAUUCAGAUGGACAUUCUAUUGAUGAAAAGGAGAAACAAAAUGUUGACCCUAUGGAUCAGGAGAUGACUGAGAAUGAUGAAGAACAAGGAAUUGAAUCACAAGUGCAAGAUUUGCUACCACAGCGGGAAUAUUUUACAGAGGAAGCCGAUGACCUUGCAAAGCCUGAAAUGCUGAAUUUAAUGGAAAAAUAUUCUGAUGAAAUUGAUGAAUUCUCUAAAAAAGGGGUUGAGGAGGUGAUGCUUGAAACUGAGCAGGAUGAAGACACCACAGAAAGUGAACACGACACGACUAAAUAUGAGCUAAUGGAGUCAGUAGAAACCCUGCAGAAAGUUUCCGAAGAACUAUCUGAAAAAAAAGUACCAAAUGUUGAACUGAAAAUGACCACAGUAGUGGAUGAGUUUUUUGAAACCGUUUAUACAUUAGAAGACUCCCUGCUGUCGGAUUCAAAACAGGAUACUUCAGAAAAAACUCCUGAAACAGGAACUGGGUCAUCUAUGGUGGCCAUGAAAACUGAGGGCAUGGUUUCAGAUCUAAUUGUUUGUGAGUUCCCAGGAGAAUCGAGCAAAGGGCCAGAGACUGCAUUGGCGGAGACUGAUUUGGGAUGUUUUGAGGAGAUCAAAAGUAACCUACAUGAUCCCCAAACUCUUGCAGAAGAGCAAGCAGAAAGGGAAGCUGUGGUCGUAUGCUCUGUUGAGCACUCUGAGACCCUGAAAACAGUUGAGACUGAACAAGACAUUGAAACCUUAAUCGAAUCCUUGGGUACAACAGAAAGUCAUGCACAUCAGGAAAUAGACAAAACCAAGUUCUCACACAAAGAACAUGUUGAAUUAAGAACUGAACUGAGCGAAGAAACAACUGAUACAAAGAUCAGUUCAGAAGAUGAGGAAGCAGAACCCUCCGAGAAAGAAGGUCAAUCAUUAGUCAUCAGAAAUGUCACUUUACAGUCACAUGAGCUUCUUGAGUUCAAAGAAGGUGAAUGCAAAUCAUCUCUAGGAACAAUGGACACAUUCAGUGAAUCACUAGGAAAUUCAAGUGUGUCUGAAAUCGCUGAAAAUGCAGAGAUUGAACAUGUUGCAGAGGAGCAAACAGAUGUGAAACCUGUAUUAACAAGGUCUUUAAGUUCAGCCGGGUUUCUGGAGGAAACUGUACAUCUGCAGGAUGUAUCAGAGCGACGCACCGAAGAGCAGGAGAUCCUGGAGACUGCUUUAGAGUAUGUAGAAGGAAUAACAAAUCAAGUCUUGAAGGAUAUGAUAGAAACAGAAGUUAACUUAGUACAAGAAACAGAACCUUUGGCAGGACCUUCAUCAGAAGAACCUGGUGAUGCAGAAUAUCAGGGACCUGCACAAUGUGUGUCAGCUGAUGCCUUUGUCCUGGAAGAAGAAGGGAAGUUAUUGGGUGAGACAAUGGAAAGUAAGGUAGAAAUGGAGGUGGAAACCACAAGUAGUGAAGUUCUUAAACAAACUGAGCAACAUAUUAGUUCACCAGUGUGUGAAACGACUGAAGCUGAUGGAUGUCGUGAUAUUGCUGGAGCAACAGUGUUGAGUAGUCAUGAAGACUUAAUGGAAGUCAGCAGACCUGGGAUGAAAAGAGGAUUUGAUCAAGUGAACAAAGACCUUGCAGAGGUGAAGACGGAACGAAAAUUUGAUUUGUAUCUACAGGCAUUUGAGGAAUCAUCAUUGGACUUUACCAUUCAGAAGACUCGAAUUGCUGUGAAAAAUCCCCUAGUUCGGCCUCCUAAAGACCCCAGAAGGCUCCUCUUCAAGGCCUCAGUCGAACCUCUUGUCUCACAGCCUUCACCGCGUAGUCAGAAGGUUGAAGUCUCUGUUCCAAGUAAAGGGGUGACUGGAUUUAAACUUCCAGGACUGGGUGCAGAGCUGCCAGUACUGAGAAAAACUGAGUUUGGGAAGAAAACAAGAGAAGGAGGAGCAGCAGAGAGAACACUACAACCACAGCAAAAGUCAGUUGCAGUAACAGAGGAUUCUGUCAAACAAGAGCAAGCGCCAGUGCCAGUGCCAGCUAAACCCAAAUGGACACCGCCAAAGCAUCCUGGUAUGGGAAGUCCCUUCAUGAUGGCAGAACUCAAAAGCAAACUCAAAAAGCCUGUUCAGGAGUAA
ensembl:lncRNA